UACGGGGGGAGCAAGCGUUGUUCGGAUUUACUGGGCGUAAAGGGCGCGUAGGCGGUCAGCACAAGUCAGUUGUGAAAUCUCCGGGCUUAACCCGGAAAGGUCAACUGAUACUGUGCGACUAGAGUGCGGAAGGGGCAACUGGAAUUCUUGGUGUAGCGGUGAAAUGCGUAGAUAUCAAGAGGAACACCUGCGGCGAAGGCGGCUCACUGGCCCGGUACUGACGCUGAGGCGCGAAAGCGUGGGGAGCAAACAGG
rnacentral:rRNA from 1 species